rnacentral:snRNA from 1 species
GCUACAGGGAUUGUGACU